GAUGAGAUGGCCGAGAGGUUAAUGUGAUGGACUGCUGAUUUAUUGGGCUCUGCACGCGUGGGUUCGAGUCCCACCCUCAUCG